AUUAGCUUUUCUCUUACCAAAAUUAAAAGCAGAUGGAAGAGAAAGGCAGCCAAAGGCAUCCCAGAAACAAAAGGCAAAUAGCAAAGACUUGAGUCUCCCGGAAAGCGGACCCGCCCCCCUCCCCAGAUGUAGCGCGGUGUGUCAAGUCACUUCUGUGGAGAAAGCUCCAAGGAUGAGGAGUGGGGAUUGCAGGAGCUGACCUGGGAGAGAAGUUUGGUUUCAAAGUCGAUUGUCCCAGGGGGCAUCUGGCAGAUGGUGAUGGAGAGGAUGGGGUUGGGGAGAGGGACAAAUUGAAUGGUUGGUUACCGGAAGGAUCUGUUAUUAUACCAGACAGGUUUUGGGUUCUGAAAGCCCUAUCGUUGCUCUCUGUAACUCCACAUCCCCUUUGUCCCAAUUAAAUAAUUUCCCCGAAGGGAUAAGAAGGUUCUUCCAGGCUUCUUCAUUUUAGAGAGAAAAUGGCAAUUAGGGAAAACAUGGUUCGGAAAUUUAAGACCUGGUCGUAUUAAAAAAGAUCAAAUAAGGAUCCUGAGGCUUGUGCCUGGGACAUGUGCCUUUAGUGUGAAGAAAGACCCCAACUCUCCAACGGACGCCUGAUUACUUUUAUAGAAAGAGAUAGUCUGCAAAGCCGACAGCAAAAAUGGCUCAGACAAAAGCUGAAAACACUGGAAACUGCAGAGAUUUGUGCACAAAAGCUGGUUUCAUUAAUUUGCAUCUUCAGCACGUUUAUCUACAUCUCUUUUCUUAUUUUUAAAAGUGUUUUGCAACAUGAAUGUAAAACACUUUGAAAAAGAAUCUCUAAAGCUGUAGUCAUGUUCUGUAUCCGGAUUGUGGUGGUGGUUACAUAAACCUAUACAACGUGUUAUAACUCAUAGAACUUUGUAAACCAAAAGA
rnacentral:lncRNA from 10 species